AUAUGCCAUGUAGUGCAUGUCAAACGUUUUCAUUUGAUUUGCUAUCUUGCCGUUUUAAUAAAAUAACGGUCCAACAUUUCUGGUACUAUAGCAGUAUUGUCGGUUUUGCAGUACACAUGCUUUACUUUGUUUUUCUUAAAAUUUCAUUACCAUUUUCAGCAACAAUGUACUGCUGCAUUAUGGUUGAUUAUAUUUCUGAACUGGUUCAAAUGAUACAUUCCCGGCUAGGGGUUGUUGGCAACCGCGACACAUGUGCAAUGAAAGAAGCAAUGUCGCCAGAGGCCUCAGUAAGCAACAAUGUACUGCUGCAUUAUGGUUGAUUAUAUUUCUGAACUGGUUCAAAUGAGGAUGGGAGGCUGCUACUUAGGAGGCGCUCAUGGUACCAGGUCUCCAUAGACCUGACUGUUUCAGAAUGGGAACAAGGCAAUGGUAGCUCGUUGAGAUUUGGAUGCUGAACUUCCAGUUGAGGAAGUUCCUUUACUACAGCUGUUUAGGUGGUGAAGGUGUGAGUGUCCUUGCAGUGGCGGUCAACAACAGCGGGUUGUAUUGUCAGUUGCUUUGUAAGGAAAAUAACACUUGUUUUAAAGGGGACUCCAUCCGAUUAAACAGAAGAUUGUUUAAUAAAUACAGUACAUAGUUUGUAUGAUUCGUCAGGUAACCCUUAGUUGAAGUUGAGUCUGUGCAUAUGAUUUCUAUAUACAUCGAAACCUCCAGCGUCCACCUUCAGUCAUUUUCUUUUCCCUGAA